AACAAACAAUAAGAAUUCUUUAAGAAACAUUAGAAAGAACACAAAUAUCACUCAAAUACAUCUCAAUUCAAUCUAAAUUUAAUUCUAGUUAAAAUCCUAUUGAAUUUCAUUCAAACUUUAGGCCAAAAUUAAUUGAAUUUUAAGUCCUAAUAAAAUCCCAAAUCCUAAAUCAAAUCCUUAACAAACCUUAAACCAAACCCCAACCAAAUCCAAAACCAAAUCCUAACCAAACCCUAAAUCAAACCCUAACUAAAUCCUAAUCCAAAUCCUAAAUCCUAAACCAAACCCUAAUCAAACCCUAAACCAUAUCCUAAUCCAAACUCUAAACCUUAAACUAAAUUCUAACCAAAUCCUAAAUCCUAAAUAAAAUCCUAACCAAACCUUCAACCAAAUCCUAAUCCAAAUCCUAAAUCCUAAAUUAAACCCUAAACAAAUCCUAAAUCCUAAACCAAAUCUUUAUCCAAAUACUAAAUCCUAAACCAAAUCUUAAUCAAAUCCUAAAUCCUAAAUAAAAUCCUAAUCAAAUCCUAAACCAAAUCCUAAUCUAAAUCCUAUACCCUAAAUCAAACCCUAAACAAAUCCUAAAUCCUAAAUCAAAUCUUAAUCUAAAUCCUAAAU
rnacentral:lncRNA from 1 species